rnacentral:rRNA from 1 species
UUGGAGGGCAAGUCUGGUGCCAGCAGCCGCGGUAAUUCCAGCUCCAAUAGCGUAUAUUAAAGUUGUUGCAGUUAAAAAGCUCGUAGUUGAAUUUCGGGAUUAGUACGUUGGUCGUGCCUUAGGUACGUACUGGUGUUACUGGUUCCUACCUUCUGACGAACCAUCAUGUCAUUAAUUUGGUGUGGUGGGGAAUCAGGACUGUUACUUUGAAAAAUUAGAGUGUUUAAAGCAGGCUCGCGCUUGGAUACAUUAGCAUGGAAUAAUGAAAUAGGACGUUGAUCCUAUUUUGUUGGUUUCUAGGAUUGACGUAAUGAUUAAUAGGGAUAGUUGGGGGCAUUAGUAUUCAAUUGUCAGAGGUGAAAUUCUUGGAUUUAUUGAAGACUAACUACUGCGAAAGCAUUUGCCAAGGAUGUUUUCAUUAAUCAAGAACGAAAGUUAGGGGAUCGAAGACGAUCAGAUACCGUCGUAGUCUUAACCAUAAACUAUGCCGACUAGGGAUCGGAUGAUGUUAAUUUUUUAAUGACUCAUUCGGCGCCUUACGGGAAAC